UACGUAGGGUGCAAGCGUUAAUCGGAAUUACUGGGCGUAAAGCGUGCGCAGGCGGUUUUGUAAGUCAGAUGUGAAAUCCCCGGGCUUAACCUGGGAACUGCGUUGAAACUACAAGGCUAGAGUGUGGCAGAGGGGGGUGGAAUUCCGACGUGUAGCAGUGAAAUGCGUAGAUAUCAAGAGGAACACCUGAGGUGAAGACGGGUUGCUGGGCUGACACUGACGCUGAGGCGCGAAAGCCAGGGAGCAAACGGG
rnacentral:rRNA from 1 species